rnacentral:lncRNA from 1 species
ACUGUAGUCCUGAUCCCUGCAACGGCCAUGGGAUAUGUGGUAAUAGUGCUUCAGGAUAUACAUGUACAUGUGAUGUUGGAUACAGUGGAACGAAGUGUGAUAAAGGUAAAUACAAUCACGGAAAUGAAUGACUUUAAAUACUAAGCAUUGUUUUGCUCACCCAAAUUUGUCAAUAUGACGGAACUAUAAACAAUUGUCAUACAACAUUUGUUGGAGGUUUAACUAGCUAUAAAACCUAUAUUGAUAAUGUUUGAUCGUGUCAGUUUUUAUGGACUUCCCAGUUUUUGGAUUAACCUUGGAUUCCUUUUUUGUGUUAAUUCCCCCCAGGAAUAGAUUACGUUAGCUGUAUUUUGCACAAUCUGCUCGUCACCUUCGGACUUUAUUUGGCCUUUUUUUAAAUGUUUUUAUUCGAGCGUCACUGAUGAGUCAUAUGAAGACGAAACGUGGUUCUAGUUUAUACAACUUUAAUCCUGAUAGCUAUGAUGAGUUUAUUUAACACAACCUUUUGGAAUUGGGGUCCGCAUUGUUCUCCAACUACGUACUUAAUUUGGGCGUCACUUAUGAGUGCUUUGUAGACGACACGAGGCGUCAUGCGUACACAAUAAUUAGCCUUGUAUCUUUGCUGAGCUGUUUAAGAACAAUUUCAAAAUCAAAUCUAACUGGAAGAUGCAGGAGAACAUUCAAAACCGCAUACUUAAAAAUUGAUCAAACAAUGGCUUAAAAAAAUGCAAACGUGCCGAUAAACACAUUCAAGAUAUAAUUGGAAAAAUGAUAUGGCGGGUUUAACAUGUCUGUCAAAACUCAAACCUGCUUAUACCUUAAACAGUGGUAUAACCACAAAACAUAAGAACAAACUGUAACAAUCAGUUGGAAACGGUUGACCUCAAUAAAUUGGUACAAAGCAACCCCUAAAAAAAACCCAAACAAACAAAAAAUCCCCUAGAAAAACAAUAGACACAAAGCGCGGAUUCUAAUAUGUGUUUGCAUAUCAUUACCUAUGUUAAUCUUUUGACCUUAUUCAAACAUAUGGCGUCAUCGGAAUGUUGUGCAAAUUAUUCUUUACCAAUUCAUUAUUAAUAUGAUUGUCCUUAUAUUAGCGAAAAUCUUUAAUCUUAUAGGUCUUAGCCAAGUAGACUUGUACUACUAUUAUGUCGCUUAAUAUAUAUAUAUGUUUUGCUUAAAAGGCUUUCUGUUCUAAUGGUAAGGAACUAAUAAUUAAAAAAAAAUCGUUUUUGACAAAGCUAUUUAUAUGCAAAGUUUAAUUGAUAAAUUAAAUAGUUCGCAUUUAUGUAGGAGUUAAAUCUAUAUCUUGUCUCAAAUCUGUGUCUUUUCUUCCGAUCUGUGUUCCAUAACCUUAUUACACUACACUCUGUUUCCAUUCCUUGUACCGUUUCUUCUGUGACGUCAUGACACUCAUUGUUUAUUAAAAUCCGUGUCCUUUAUAAAAAAACGUAGACUUUAGAUAAUGUAAGGUGACUUGGGACAAGUGCAUAUGCUGCAGGGUCAAUCAUUUUCUAAUCUUGUAUCGUUGUGUAACACAACAAAAUAAUAACAUAAAAUAAUAUCUGUUAAAUCAGUUGGAAAGGGAGUGCAUACAUUAUCAGAUCGGCACAAAACUCACAAUUCAUAUAACAGAAAAGACCCAAUAUAAUAGAAAAAUAAAAAAAAAUAUAUAUAUAUUAUACUGUUUGUUAGGCCUUCGUGAUUUGUUUACUUAUUUGUCGACACCCCACCAGAGCAAGAGAGAAAUUAAGUGUUAACACUUUGACUAUUUCACUAUCAAACUGUUUCGUUGAUUUGAAAAUAAUUUUAAUAAACUUGAUAGUAAAAUUUGUAACUGAAGUAUAAAAAGUAUAUUUUUUCACACUUUUCUUAAUGCGAAAAAACUGUAAGCUCCUAUGUAGAUAAGUGAACAGAUAGUCCUUCAUUCUCACUCCCCAUGCUCUUACUCAAAGACAGAAAUCGGAUAACGAAACCGUUCCAGCAUAUCCGUGUUUUACUCCUCUAAUCUCGAGGUUUCUUCCUCAUCGUAUGUUGGUUUCUGUCCCUGACUACAACUGCCAUCACUCAUUCAAAGGUUCCUUCAUCCCUGUAGAACCCCUGUAUGCACAUAUUUAAACACACACUAACUGUACAUAUCCUUGUCAUUAGAAUGUGAAAGUCGUAUUGAUGCCUUUGUCAACAAACAUAUAACCUCGAAUAUGUUUUGAUAAUUCUGACGUCAACAAAUAGUACAGUGCAUACCUUUAAAAUAAAGACACAGAUUUGGGAAAAGAAAGGUCAUAUAUAUAUAUAUAUGUGACAUAUAUGAAGCAACAUAGAAUAGGACGUAGGUAUGAGGAAAGAACAGACAUGUUAGGUUGGGCAUAGAUUUGAGGUUGACAUAAGAAGUGAUAAAAGAAAGCAUUCCUGUCACGAAAAUAUUAGGUAAGGUUUUGUUUAAUUCACAGAUCAUUUCGAUAAGGGUUUUGUUUACGAUUAUUUUUUCUUGUUGUUUUUUUUAAAUUGUAGGUACCCCUUAAAUAGUCGUUAUAAAUGAAUGUUGGUAAAUCGAACAGUUUUGCCUUACCGUUUACCCGGAUAAUUUUUUAAUCGAUUAACCGGUUAACCGAUAGUUAAGUUGAUGUUUAAAGGCCUUAUUCUUAUGAAUAAUAUGAUUGUUGUUAUCUUGAAGACAUUACUACAGUUGAACGUGUAGAGCGGUAUGUAGCAAAAAUAGUGACGGGUCUACACAAAAUUUACAGGAUUAGAACCACUUUCAUUUGAGACAGGUUGGAAGCCUUAGCAGAUUAUAAAGAAAAAGGAAAUAAUUAAAUUUUUGUUUAUAAUAUUCAUAAACAAAAUUGUACAGAAUAUUUAUAUGAUUGUUUAUCACUCUAUCUACAUAUCACAACUCAAAGAAAUUUGAGUAAUGUCAUUGACUAUCGACAACAUUAUAGUAUAUAACAACUGCGCUAAAAAUCAUUUUGUCUAUCCUUGAGCAAAUUUGGAAUAAUUAAGACCAUGGUGUCCUCAAGCUAGCCGUGAUAAAUAGAUUUUAAAGCCAAUUGAUUCAGUUUGAAUUGUAAACUCCCUUUUAGUAUUCUGUUGCAGAUUACUAAAUGUUCUUCAUACAAAACUCCAGCAUACAUGUAGUUUAUUAAAUGCUGAUCAAUUCGGAUUUUGUUAUCGGUCCAAGUUGUUUCGGUAAAUGGUUUAUUUAAAGAUUAAUACAUUAAUUCCUUGAAUACUGCUGAUAUACACUGGCACGCGAACAACUGAAAACUAGUCUAAAUUUUCUAAAGGAUUGAAAAAUUGAAAGUUUACCUUUUGGAGAUCAUGCUCAGAUUAGACUUCGGCUAACAUGUAAUACAUUGUUCAGCUGUUCCUUUUUUAUUUUGCUGAUUUAGGUUGUUUUACGUAUUUGUUUUUUUCUGCAGUUAGACACCACUUCGGUGUUAACAUGUAUAUCUAUUAUAUAGUCAUUUUUAUAAAUUUACUGUUUGCAAAAGUAUAAAUUAUUCUAAAUACUAAGGAUUUUCUUAUCCCAGGCAUAUAGCCUUAGCCGUAUUUGGAACAACCUUUUGGAACUUUUGGUCCUCAAUGCUCUUCAACUUUGAACUUUGGCUUUCGAACUUUUUUGAUCUGAGCGUCACUGAUGGGUCUUAUGUAGACGAAACGCGCGUCUGGCGUAUUUAAAAAUCAUACGCCUGAUACAUUUUGAUAGCUAUUAUUUGGGUGUGUCUCUGUCCUGUAUGUUCUCCCAUUUAUUUGUAUUGUAGUCCUGUCAUGCAAUGUUGUCAUUUUAAUGUUAUAUUUAACAUUGCCAUAAAAGCGGGAGGUUUGGAUAGCCACAAAAUCAGGUUCAACCCACCAUUUUUUCUUAAAAUGUCCUGUACCAAGUCAGGAAAAUGGCCAUUGUUAUAUCAUAGUUUCUGUGUGUGUUGUAUUUUAGUGUUGUGUCGUUGUUCUUCUCUAAUAUUUGAUGUGUUUCCCUCAGUUUGUAGCCCGGAUUUGUUUUGUUCUCAAUCGAUUUAUGAAUUUCGAAUAGCGGUAUACUACUGUUGCCUUUCGUUAUCAGUCUGAUGAUUUAAAUGUUAAAAUAUACAAAUCAGUUCAAUUGCACAUAACAAAAAUAUAACGUUUUGACAAAAGCUGAUCACCAACAUAAUUCAUUUUCUAUUUUUUGUCUUUUUUCUUAACCACCCCUUCUCUGUUCUUUUUUUUUCCUUUUUGACUGUCCUUUUGCCUCUUAACGCCAUCAUUCAGUAUUUGUGCAUUCAUUUUUGUUGUUGCAUUUAAUAAAUCUAUUUAGCCUCACAAAAACGACAUAUCUUUAAAUAUUAAUUGUUGAUUCAUGUUUACUGUUAUGUUUGAUAAUUAACUGGAGAGGACCUUGGUAUGUUGUAUUCGUUCUCGUUUUUCUUUUUUUACUUUUGAGCUAAUGUUUUAAAGGUUUCUUGAGCAGGCAUUAUGUUAUUUUGAAAAUAUGAGUUAACCUCACUGAAAUAACAUUGAUAGUUGAUUUCUUUUGUUAUAAACUUACAUGUAUAUAUAAAAAAGAAGAUGUGGUAUGAUUGCCAAUGAGACAACUCUCCACAAGAGACCAAAAUGACACAGAAUAUAACAACUAUAGGUCAUCGUACGACCUUCAACAAUGAGCUAAGCCCAUACCGCAUAGUCAGCUAUAAAAGGCCCCGAAAUGACAAAUGUAAAACAAUUUAAACGAAAAAACUAACGGCCUUAUUUUUUUUUAAAUGAACACAUAAACAAACGACAACCACUGAAUUACAAGCCACUGACUUGGGACAGGCACAUACAUACAUAAUGUGGCGGGGUUAAACAUAUUUUAAACAUUAUUGAAAUGUGGUAAGAUUUUAAAGGAAGGUGAUGUUUAAAUCUCGUAAAUCGCAUGAAGUGACAAAUCAAGGUAAAUAACAAAAACUGAGGGAAUCACAUGAACUCCAAAAGGAGCUAGUCCGGAUGCGUAAACAGGCUAACAAUAAGCUUGUAUUACCUGUCAUUUGAAUCCAUACUCAGUCAAAAUGACGCAAUCUAUUAAAUUACAGAUAAUACGAGUAUACUGGUUUCUAAAGAGCUAAGACCGUUAAAACUAUUCUCUAUUGAGUUUAAAUUAAACAACAACCUUCUAUACAUUAUACAGGUGAAAGAUGUAAACAUUUACAAGUCAAUGUACAAUAUUCACAAUGAUGUCCGUAACGCCCAUUUGAACAUUUUUUCUUUUAUUUCUUGUUACUUUGCAUAAGCAAUUUAUUCAUAAAAAAGUACGUAGUGCUUUCUUCAUUCUUAUCAUGAUAUUUGAACAUUAGUUCACAUUAUUUCAUAAGCUAGAAAUAAAUAUUAAAAAAAUGUAAUCACGUAAAUAAAACGUAUUCAUCACUUAUAAAAUGCAUAGAUCAUCCUUGUCGUGGCGUAACCUGUCAUCAUGGUGGACACUGCAGUUCGGGUAGAUGCACUUGUGCAUCUGGUUAUACUGGUCAGCAUUGUGAGAAAC